rnacentral:rRNA from 1 species
AUUGAACGCUGGCGGCAUGCCUUACACAUGCAAGUCGAACGGUAACAGGUCUUCGGAUGCUGACGAGUGGCGAACGGGUGAGUAAUGCAUCGGAACGUGCCCAGUCGUGGGGGAUAACGCAGCGAAAGCUGUGCUAAUACCGCAUACGAGCUAUGGAUGAAAGCGGGGGACCGUAAGGCCUCGCGCGAUUGGAGCGGCCGAUGUCAGAUUAGGUAGUUGGUGGGGUAAAGGCCCACCAAGCCAACGAUCUGUAGCUGGUCUGAGAGGACGACCAGCCACACUGGGACUGAGACACGGCCCAGACUCCUACGGGAGGCAGCAGUGGGGAAUUUUGGACAAUGGGCGCAAGCCUGAUCCAGCAAUGCCGCGUGCAGGAAGAAGGCCUUCGGGUUGUAAACUGCUUUUGUACGGAACGAAACGGUCUGGGUUAAUACCCUGGGCUAAUGACGGUACCGUAAGAAUAAGCACCGGCUAACUACGUGCCAGCCGCCGCGGUAACAC